UUCUUUUUUUUUUUGUGCUGGGAUUGAACCCAGACCCUUGUGCGUACCAGGCAAGCUCUCUACCAACUGAGCUAUAUCCCCAGCCCCAACAUGGAGAUUCUUGAGUCCUCUGGAAAAACACUAUCAGGAAACUCUCUGCGCUGACAAUUUAGCUUAACAAGCUUGCUUGUGCAGGUCCCAGGGACUCCCCUGUACCUGUGGCUAGAACCCCGGGGAGGCUGUGGGCCUUUAAUUGGAACCAUGUGUCCUUCCAGCAAGCAGCAGGUGACCAGGCCAACUUAGAGAGGGCUGCUCAUUAGAGCAAGCAUGCCCUUUGACCCCUUCAUCUGACUUCUGGGAACACAUCCCAAAGAAAUAACCCCAAAUACGGACAAAUAAAUGGUCUUCGCAGUAUUUCCUAUAACAGCAGAGGAACUGGAGUCAACCCGAACGGCCCACAGGGGGACCAACUGAUGUUCCUCACAGCUGACGGCGCCUGUCACCCGCUGCGGAGGGACAGCCAGGGAGGCUCUCAGACCACGGGGUGUUUGUGACAGAAUGUUAAUUAAAGAAAUCAGGUUGCAGAGCUCUGCAUCCCACGACGAGCUGAGUAAACUACGCACGUGGAAUACUGGAAACAGCCUGGCCUACUCCCUGUGCCCGGGGACGGGACUGUGGGGGGGGGGCAGUUUCUGCCUCCACGUUCCCGGUUUUAGGCAAUGUGGUCAUGGUUAAAAGCACAUUAUAAAUUUUU
rnacentral:lncRNA from 1 species